ensembl:lncRNA
AAAAGAUCACACGCGCGGCUGUAGCCCCGGGCGGCCGCCCGCCAGUCCCUGGCGCGCGCCAAGCUGGCCCAGCUGGGUGUAUUUGCUAAACUGGAGAUGGCGCAUGACAAGAACUGCCCCAAAUGUCACUCCUCUUUUGGAAAUCAUGAUGCCGCGCUUUUUUCCCCUCUUUCCUUAAAGGCUGUAGCUAUAAUAAGCCAAAUGUUCCAUGCUGGUGGAGUAAACACGCAUGUUUAAGGGGCAUCUGUGUUAGCAGAGGGCACUCGCGCACAGAGGUGUGUUACCUAGUGUAUUUAUGGAGCAAACCUCAGGACUUGGCGCUGUGGGAACUACCGAGUCAAAGUGCUGUGACAGCUUCACAGAAGGUGACUUUGUGUCAGGAAACUUAUUUCAAUUAGAAAGAAAGGCGUUUCCCUGAUCAUAGUACUCCCGGGCGCUUGAGGUACCACCAACUUCUAACUUGUAUUAGUUAUUGAAUUGAAUUACUCUUCAAUAAUAGAAAGAGCGGAUGUGACUCUCGUGGCUUUUGUGUGUGAGUUUUUUAUGGGGUUUGUUUGUUGUUUUUAUCACCACCACCACCACCCCCAUUGAGCACUGAACCCAAGACUUUUGCACUACAUCCCUACCCUAGCUCCCUCUUUUUUUUUUUUUUCUUUUUUAAGACAGGGAUUCACUAAGUUAUCCAGGCUGGGCUCGAAUUUGCCUCUUGUUUUUUAAAAUGACAUUAUAUGGGUUGGAGUGUAGCUCAGUGGUAGAGCUAGAAUGCUUGCCUGUGCAUAGGAGCCCCUGGCUUCGAUCCUCAGCACCAAAACAACAAAUGACAUUUAUAUAUCACCAGGCUUGGAGUGGAGGGUGGCUAUCAGAAACAAGGGCCCACUGAGUGUUGUAGGGUAGUUUGGGUCAUUGAGUGACUGCAGUAGAUGGAUGGGAGUAGGGUGUAAGGAUUUUGCCCAAAUGCUCUCUGCACCAGUGUAUUUUUCUUCCCUGAUAAUAGGCACAAAAUCUGUGUUAGAAGCUUGUGUUGGAAAUCAUACAAAAGAGUCUACUACUCAUAUAUUUUAUCAAGGAACCUGGAAGCAUGGGACACAGUUUGUGGAAGGUUCUUCUGUUCUUGCAGCAGCAAUGCAUUCCCAGUGGCUCUGCUCCUUCAUUCACCUAGACCUCAGACCAAGCAGUGCCCCGAGAUGCAAGUCCAGGGCCUUGUGAAGGCACCCUCAGAAUUAUCCACUUCUGGCCCAGCUACAGUAAGGCACUGAAGUAAGGGCCAGGAAAUCUUCAUAUGUUCUUGGACCUGGUAUGGCCUCUCAGGUAACCCAGUUAAUGUCUGUGUCUCCCAAUGAUUAAAAAAAAAAAAAAAAGGAAAGGAAAAGAGAAAAGAUGUUCCUGCCUCAAAAGGGUUAAGAAAUCAGACUGGGUGAUCUCUGGGACAGGGUUCUGAAUUUUCAUGCAACAACCACAAGCAACAGAGCACUGUAUGUGCCAUAAGUUAUCAUCAAGUAACUGACACUAACAUGGACUGGUCUUUAUUAUCUGGAAGAGGGUAACAGCAAAUUGCUGGGAAACACUGGAGAGAAGGGCUCCCCCUGCUGUCCUCCCGGAAGAUGGGCUGACUAGAGGCCACAGUUUUGGGCAUCCACCGGGUGCAGAAGAUUUGGGCCGUUGGGGUCAAUGCCAGAGAAUUUGUCAAGUUCAUCACCUUGAGAUAUGUGUAAUUUUAUUGGAAGUGAAAUAAAAGUAUAGCUGACAAAUAAAAGAUGAUUAUUUCUCUUAAAACACUUCAGAUUGAGGUACAGAAAAGUCAGCCUACUUUCAACCACCUAAAUGGUCUACCUCAGUCCAUUUAUGACCAUAAGAACAAGGAUGGUAUUUGUGUGGCCCACUUCGGGAGCUGGGAAUCUGUUUGAAUAUAUUGCUUUUUUUUGUUUUUUGUUUUUUUUGAGAUAGGGCUUGAGCUGUCUCAAAGGUUGGCCUUGGACUUGGGAUCCUUCUGCCUCAGCCUCCCUAGCAUUGGGAUUACAGCUCUUUGCAUAGGAACCAAUGGAUCUAUAAGCCUUCAGAGGUCAUGAAGAGUUGGGUUUGUCAACCACAGAUUUAUAGCGCAAGAAGGAGUUUAUUUAAGGUCUUCAACCCCUGAACAAACGUAGCACAGGUAAAACAUGAGUCUGUUUUCCACUGUUACAGCAAAAUACCUGAAGCUGUGUACUUUGUAAAGAAAAGCUAUUUAGCUCACCAAUUUAGAGGCUAAAGAUCUAAAAUCAGGAAGCCUCUUGCAUUUGGCCUCUGGUGAGGCCCUUCCUUGGCUGCAUCACACAAUGGCUAAUGGCAUCAUAGCAGAUGGCCAAAAUGUGUGUGAGACAGAGAAGGUCACAUGUGAAACAGGAAACCAAAAGGAGACCCAGGCUGCUCUUUCAUAACAACAAUGUGCUCUCAUGAGAAAAACCAACUCAUGCUGUGAGACCAGCAUUGAUCCUUUCCAACGUGUGACCAUUAAUCCUGACAUGGCAAUUUGACUGGAUUGAAAAAUGCCUAGCAGAUUAGUAACACACAGGUCUGGGUGUGUCUGUGGAGGUGAUUGGCAGGUAGGCCAGCAAACUGGGUGGUAACAACCAAUAGGCUCAUAGCCUGGUCAGAAGAAAAAGGGAAAGAAGGAAGUUCAUCCAUUUUUGAAGAGCUCCAGUCUUCUUGAGCAAGUGUAGCCUUUCCUGCUAUUGUCUCCAGUUUCUUCAGCCUUCCAACACAGACUCACACUAGUGACUCUCCAGCGAGCCUUCAGGACUUCGACUUUAGACUGGUGCUGUAUCCUUGAUUCCUCUUGUUCUGUGGCUUCCAUCUUCUUCAGCUGAGCAGCGACUGGAUUGUCUCAAUCUCCAGCACAUAGAUGAUUAUCAUGGAUUCUUCCACUUCUGAUCUCACAGAUGGCCAUUGUGGACUCUCCCCACUUCUGAUGCUAUAAGCCCACCUAAUAAAUUCCCUUGUAUAUGAUACAUGUAUUUUCUCUUGAUUCUGUUCCUCUAGAGAAUCUUAACUAAUGCACAAAGGUGGAACCCCUAAUUACCAAAGCAUCUCCU